GAUGAACGCUGGCGGCGUGCCUAAUACAUGCAAGUCGAGCGAAUGGAUUAAGAGCUUGCUCUUAUGAAGUUAGCGGCGGACGGGUGAGUAACACGUGGGUAACCUGCCCAUAAGACUGGGAUAACUCCGGGAAACCGGGGCUAAUACCGGAUAACAUUUUGAACCGCAUGGUUCGAAAUUGAAAGGCGGCUUCGGCUGUCACUUAUGGAUGGACCCGCGUCGCAUUAGCUAGUUGGUGAGGUAACGGCUCACCAAGGCAACGAUGCGUAGCCGACCUGAGAGGGUGAUCGGCCACACUGGGACUGAGACACGGCCAGGCUCCUACGGGAGGUAGCAGUAGGGAAUCUUCCGCAAUGGACGAAAGUCUGACGGAGCAACGCCGCGUGAGUGAUGAAGGCUUUCGGGUCGUAAAACUCUGUUGUUAGGGAAGAACAAGUGCUAGUUGAAUAAGCUGGCACCUUGACGGUACCUAACCAGAAAGCCACGGCUAACUACGUGCCAGCCGCCGCGGUAA
rnacentral:rRNA from 1 species